rnacentral:rRNA from 1 species
GAUGAACGCUGGCGGCGUGCCUAAUACAUGCAAGUCGAGCGAACAGACGAGGAGCUUGCUCCUCUGACGUUAGCGGCGGACGGGUGAGUAACACGUGGAUAACCUACCUAUAAGACUGGGAUAACUUCGGGAAACCGGAGCUAAUACCGGAUAAUAUAUUGAACCGCAUGGUUCAAUAGUGAAAGACGGUUUUGCUGUCCCUUAUAGAUGGAUCCGCGCCGCAUUAGCUAGUUGGUAAGGUAACGGCUUACCAAGGCAACGAAGCGUAGCCGACCUGAGAGGGUGAUCGGCCACACUGGAACUGAGACACGGUCCAGACUCCUACGGGAGGCAGCAGUAGGGAAUCUUCCGCAAUGGGCGAAAGCCUGACGGAGCAACGCCGCGUGAGUGAUGAAGGUCUUCGGAUCGUAAAACUCUGUUAUUAGGGAAGAACAAAUGUGUAAGUAACUAUGCACGUCUUGACGGUACCUAAUCAGAAAGCCACGGCUAACUACGUG